AGUCCAGCGAUACGUUUUGUAGUAUGAAGUUGUUAAUGUCACAAAAGACGGCACCAUGAUGAAGUCGCCCAUCGUAUCAAGUACCAACUGGGAGGUAGUGCACCUGAUCAAGGGAUAUGAAUAACAAUGAUAUGAAGCCCGCAUCGUAGUGAUUAGUGAUUGGGUUUUUCAUAAAGAAUCGGAAUUAUGAAGAAUUUCGUUACUUUAAAGAAAUAAAUGUGACAUUUUCAUUGAAUAAAAAUACCAUCCACAUA